rnacentral:rRNA from 1 species
AUGGACCUAAACCUACACGCGGUGCCCCUGUUCUUGACUGAUUAGGUCUAUAACAUCAAGCUGAGUUUUCCAAACGGGUUAUCGAGAUAACUCUCAACAAUGGAUCUCUAGGCUCUUGCAUCGAUGAAGAACGCAGUGAACUGCGAUAACUGGUGUGAGUUGCACGGCACUUCUAAUCUAACACCAAGCGAAUCAUCGAGUCUUUGAACGCAAACGGCACCCUUCCAGUCCAUUCCAACGCGGUGGCGGAGGAUGAAGACAAGGGUAUCUCUGGCUGAGGGUAAUGAAAACUGAUCCAGUGUGCCGCUUUUUUUUUGGUCACUGGGGAUUGGGCUUGCUUGGGGUAAUGUCGUUGCUCUGGCUUGCUUUAAAAUCAAGCGUUGUGUGGAUUGGGCUUUCAAGCAUGCAUUGGGGACGCAGGCUCUGCGCUAUGGCAAGCCCUUGACCGUCAUAGGUGCUUUGAUUGGGGUUUCAGUCUAGCCAACAAAGGCUGGGUUGGAGACUUUGGGGCUGCAUUGGGGGGCGUAGGGCAGCUCUGUUCGUGGCGUCCGAUGACCGUCAUGGUGCAUGAUUGGACCUUCAACCAGCAAUUAUCAUUAUCUGAUAUAAUUAUAAUCAUUACUAUGGGUUACCUCAGGUCAGAGAAGACUACCCGCUGGACUUAAGCAUAUCAAUAAGCGGAGGAAAUCUAGAUGCAU